UACAGGGGGUGCAAACGUUGUUCGGAAUUACUGGGCGUAAAGCGAGUGUAGGCGGUCUUAUAAGUCGGGUGUGAAAGCCCCGGGCUCAACCCGGGAAGUGCACUCGAAACUGUGAGGCUAGAGUAUCGGAGAGGUUGGUGGAAUUCUCGGUGUAGAGGUGAAAUUCGUAGAUAUCGAGAGGAACACCGGUGGCGAAGGCGGCCAACUGGACGAAUACUGACGCUGAGACUCGAAAGCGUGGGGAGCAAACAGG
rnacentral:rRNA from 1 species